rnacentral:tRNA from 1 species
GCACCCGUAGCUCAGGGGAUAGAGCGUCGGUUUCCUAAACCGUGCGUCACAGGUUCAAAUCCUGUCGGGUGCA